AUGAGGAAGCCUUCACACCACAGCUUUUCCUGUUCCAGAAAUCCUGAAGGUCGAUGCCCGGACAUCCAAUUAAUCCUCAGCCUUGGUUCCGUCGUAUUUCAGACACAGGCCUGGGUCAUUAGCUCCAAAGGCCGCAGGAGCCAAGACGCAUGCGCCUCUCUUGAAGCCAAGACAGUCUGUCUCGGCCGCACAGCUUCCUUGUUAUGCUUCACGUGGGUGUCCUGCGUGGCCAGGAAGUUCUGCAGGAAAAAUUCCCCCAGGUUUGUUUACCGCUUUGAUGAAGCCCCAGCAUUUCACAAGCGCUCCACGAUGUGCCAGGCGUUUGGACUCAGCGACCAGCCAGGCGCAGACCACAUAGGACCAGCCGCCUGGCCGCAGCAAGAAGCUGUCUCUUAAGGUGAAGCCCCAGCAAAGAAGUUUUCUUGGACACGGUGAGCAGAGAGAGAUGUGGGAGCCCUGUGUUGGGGCAAGUGGGGACAGGCCAGCCUGCCCUCUUCCUAGUGACCAGGAAAGGCCUCCUGCACAGCUGCACCUUUGGGAGUGUCCUGGUGGACCGAAGGAGCCCCUGGCCAGAUGCCGAGCAUGCUGCUCAAGACAAGGAUCUGGAGGCGGCUGUGGGGGCGCUGAACAAAGCAGGUGUUGAGUGAAUUCCCCAAGAAAGAGCGGUGGAAAGAGUGGGAGAAUUGGGGAGUGUGUUUGCUCUGAUUACAAAAGUCAUAUAUAUUCAUGGUAGAACACCUGUUUAUGUUAAAAAAAGAAAGAAAGGAAGAAAGAAAGAAGACAGCCAUAGUCCCAACCAAAAGAAAACCCCUCAACUCAUUCUGGUGUGGUUUUCCCCAAGUUUCAAAUUUUUUCUAUGCACAGUUUACAUAUGAGUGGUCAGUUUAUAACCCACCAGUUUUUAACUUGCUUUUUUGCACUUACUGUAAGAUAAAAGUAUUUUCCCCAAUCACUAAAUUCUUCUAAUGGUGCAUAUCAUUCCACCUUUGGAACAUGGCACGGUGUAGGCUAGCCUGCUCUUGGACAUUUAGCUUUUUGACUGUUCGGAACAACACCAGAUUAGUGACCUUGUGUGUACAAAAUAGAGUCCACCUCACCUCUCACUCUGCAUUCAGGUGCUGUUAUUGUCAUUUUCUCUGGCUAGGUUCCCA
rnacentral:lncRNA from 1 species